AGCAACCUGCCAUGGAAUGGGGGACAACCGUCCGAAAGGACGGCUAAUACCGCAUAAGACCACAACGACAUAUGUUGAAGGGGUCAAAGGAGGCCAAUUCUUGAAAGCUUCCGUUUCAUGAUGGGCUCAUGUCCUAUUAGCUUGUUGGUGAGGUAACGGCUCACCAAGGCAAUGAUGGGUAGCCGACCUGAGAGGGUGACCGGCCACACCGGGACUGAGACACUGCCCGG
rnacentral:rRNA from 1 species